rnacentral:rRNA from 1 species
GACGAACGCUGGCGGCGUGCUUAACACAUGCAAGUCGAACGGAAAGGCCCUGCUUUUGUGGGGUGCUCGAGUGGCGAACGGGUGAGUAACACGUGAGUAACCUGCCCUUGACUUUGUGAUAACUUCAGGAAACUGGGGCUAAUACCGGAUAGGAGCUCCUGCUGCAUGGUGGUGGUUGGAAAGUUUCGGCGGUUGGGGAUGGACUCGCGGCUUAUCAGCUUGUUGGUGGGGUAGUGGCUUACCAAGGCUUUGACGGGUAGCCGGCCUGAGAGGGUGACCGGCCACAUUGGGACUGAGAUACGGCCCAGACUCCUACGGGAGGCAGCAGUGGGGAAUAUUGCACAAUGGGCGGAAGCCUGAUGCAGCAACGCCGCGUGCGGGAUGACGGCCUUCGGGUUGUAAACCGCUUUCGCCUGUGACGAAGCGUGAGUGACGGUAAUGGGUAAAGAAGCACCGGCUAACUACGUG